AAGAAAGGGCUGAAGGCUCCAGACGUGUGAAAUCUGAGACCGAGUGACCUGUAAACAUUCAACAUCGUCUCGUAUAUAUGGAGUGUUGUGGCCUUAUUCGGAAGCAAUCGAGAGCUAAAGUCGUGAAGCUGAACAAGACACAAUCAUGAAGACGUUUCUGUUGAUUGUAGUUCUAUUGAUGGCAGCACUAGCAAUGGCAAGCGAGAUUCGUGAGAAACGCCACCAAUUCGAAGAAGCCCGUGGCAGACCUCACUUCGGAGGCGGACAUGGCUACGGACAUGGGCAUGGCUACGGACAUGGCCAUGGAUAUGGGCAUGGAUAUGGGCAUACUUAUGGCAAACCUCAUUUCGGACGCUGACGUUUAUUGUAACAUCCUUAAUAUGAAAACUAAUGAAUAAUUAAUAAAUGACCCAUUAAAUAAAUGCAUUACUUAACAUGGCA